rnacentral:rRNA from 1 species
AGAGUUUGAUCCUGGCUCAGUACGAACGCUGGCGGCAGGCCUAACACAUGCAAGUCGAGCGCCCCCGCAAGGGGGAGCGGCGGACGGGUGAGUAACGCGUGGGAAUUUUCCUCAAGGUACGGAACAACUCAGGGAAACUUGGGCUAAUACCGUAUGAUGUCUAGCGACCAAAGAUUUAUCGCCUUGGGAUAAGCCCGCGUCAGAUUAGGUAGUUGGUGGGGUAACGGCCUACCAAGCCUGCGAUCUGUAGCUGGUCUGAGAGGACGAUCAGCCACACUGGGACUGAGACACGGCCCAGACUCCUACGGGAGGCAGCAGUGGGGAAUCUUGCGCAAUGGGCGAAAGCCUGACGCAGCCAUGCCGCGUGAAUGAUGAAGGUCUUAGGAUUGUAAAGUUCUUUCGCUCGUGACGAUGAUGACGGUAACGAGAGAAGAG